rfam:Gossypium hirsutum cultivar TM-1 chromosome 14, whole genome shotgun sequence
CACUUCAGCGUGCUUUGCUGACGUGGCAACAAAUCGCGCCUACUUAAGCGCGAUUUGUGUCCACGUCAGGAAAGCACGCUGACGUGG